rnacentral:tRNA from 1 species
GGACAAGUAGCUCAGCUGGAUAGAGCGCUAGCCUCCGGAGCUAGAGGUCGUGGGUUCGAAUCCCGCCUUGUUCA